rnacentral:rRNA from 1 species
GACGAACGCUGGCGGCGUGCUUAACACAUGCGAGUCGAACGGAAAGGCCCUGCUUUUGUGGGGUGCUCGAGUGGCGAACGGGUGAGUAACACGUGAGUAACCUGCCCUUGACUUUGGGAUAACUUCAGGAAACUGGGGCUAAUACCGGAUAGGAGCUCCUGCUGCAUGGUGGGGGUGGGAAAGUUUCGGCGGUUGGGGAUGGACUCGCGGCUUAUCAGCUUGUUGGUGGGGUAGUGGCUUACCAAGGCUUUGACGGGUAGCCGGCCUGAGAGGGUGACCGGCCACAUUGGGACUGAGAUACGGCCCAGACUCCUACGGGAGGCAGCAGUGGGGAAUAUUGCACAAUGGGCGGAAGCCUGAUGCAGCAACGCCGCGUGCGGGAUGACGGCCUUCGGGUUGUAAACCGCUUUCGCCUGUGACGAAGCGUGAGUGACGGUAAUGUGUAAAGAAGCACCGGCUAACUACGUG